rnacentral:tRNA from 4 species
GCUCCCAUCGUCUAGAGGCCCAGGACACCCGCCUCUCACGUGGGUAACAGGGGUUCGAAUCCCCUUGGGAGCGCCA